rnacentral:rRNA from 1 species
UACGGAGGGUGCGAGCGUUAUCCGGAUUCACUGGGUUUAAAGGGUGCGUAGGUGGGAAUGUAAGUCAGUGGUGAAAUCUCCGUGCUUAACACGGAAACUGCCAUUGAUACUAUGUUUCUUGAAUUUUCUGGAGGUUAGCGGAAUAUGUCAUGUAGCGGUGAAAUGCUUAGAUAUGACAUAGAACACCGAUAGCGAAGGCAGCUUGCUACACAAUAAUUGACACUGAGGCUCGAAAGCGUGGGGAUCAAACAGG